rnacentral:lncRNA from 14 species
CCUUUGGGAACGACUGUAUUUUCUCGUUGCUUCUAGACUGUGCCACAGUCAAAACUCCACUUCCAGCAAGAGCAGAGGAAUAAAAACUAAGGUAUUACCAUACAGUAUGUGACUGCAUCACUUGCCCUCUCCCUGUGUGUAAACGUGUGUAUGGAUAUAUGCAUCUUCCUGUGAAGAAAGGCA